UACGGAGGGGGCUAGCGUUGUUCGGAAUUACUGGGCGUAAAGCGCACGUAGGCGGCUUUGUAAGUUAGAGGUGAAAGCCCAGGGCUCAACCCUGGAAUUGCCUUUAAGACUGCAUCGCUUGAAUCAUGGAGAGGUGAGUGGAAUUCCGAGUGUAGAGGUGAAAUUCGUAGAUAUUCGCAAGAACACCAGUGGCGAAGGCGGCUUACUGGUCCGGUUCUGACGCUGAUGCGCGAAAGCGUGGGGAGCAAACGGG
rnacentral:rRNA from 1 species